rnacentral:piRNA from 1 species
UGUGUGUAAACAUUGGCUAAAAUUAAAGA